CCUACGGGAGGCAGCAGUGGGGAAUAUUGGACAAUGGGGGGAACCCUGAUCCAGCCAUGCCGCGUGUGUGAAGAAGGCCCUCGGGUUGUAAAGCACUUUCAGUGAGGAAGAACGCCUGGUGGUUAAUACCCAUCAGGAAAGACAUCACUCACAGAAGAGGCACCGGCUAACUCCGUGCCAGCAGCCGCGGUAAUACGGAGGGGGCGAGCGUUAAUCGGAAUUACUGGGCGUAAAGCGCGCGUAGGUGGCUGGAUAAGCCGGUUGUGAAAGCCCCGGGCUCAACCUGGGAACGGCAGCCGGAACUGUCAAGCUAGAGUGCAGGAGAGGAAGGUAGAAUUCCCGGUGUAGCGGUGAAAUGCGUAGAGAUCGGGAGGAAUACCAGUGGCGAAGGCGGCCUUCUGGACUGACACUGACGCUGAGGUGCGAAAGCGUGGGUAGCAAACAGGAUUAGAUACCCUUGUAGUC
rnacentral:rRNA from 1 species